AUUGAACGCUGGCGGCAGGCCUAACACAUGCAAGUCGAGCGGAUGAAGAGAGCUUGCUCUCUGAUUUAGCGGCGGACGGGUGAGUAAUGCCUAGGAAUCUGCCUGGUAGUGGGGGAUAACGUUCCGAAAGGAACGCUAAUACCGCAUACGUCCUACGGGAGAAAGCAGGGGACCUUCGGGCCUUGCGCUAUCAGAUGAGCCUAGGUCGGAUUAGCUAGUUGGUGAGGUAAUGGCUCACCAAGGCGACGAUCCGUAACUGGUCUGAGAGGAUGAUCAGUCACACUGGAACUGAGACACGGUCCAGACUCCUACGGGAGGCAGCAGUGGGGAAUAUUGGACAAUGGGCGAAAGCCUGAUCCAGCCAUGCCGCGUGUGUGAAGAAGGUCUUCGGAUUGUAAAGCACUUUAAGUUGGGAGGAAGGGCAGUAAGUUGAUACCUUGCUGUUUUGACGUUACCAACAGAAUAAGCACCGGCUAACUUCGUGCCAGCCGCCGCAGUAAUAC
rnacentral:rRNA from 1 species